ACAACCGUCACAGACCAGGUUCUACCACUGGUCCUGUCAUGACUAUCUUGUAGUAUGUUAGCCCCCUUUUUUGUAUUUUAACAUUUUAAUAAGCUACAAAAUAUUUUUUUUACAUUUGAGAAGAAAACAACAGCUACUUGCUGAUGUUUCAACUGCUUUUUGAACUUCAAAUUACCUAUUUUCACAAAGAAAUAUUUUGUAUGAGGAAAUCCUUCCCUUGUACGUCCCCACAGAGAUGGGAAUCUAUCCCUCUGGGUGAACAUGAUUCUGAUGUAUAGAGCCAGGCUUCAUGUUUUGGAGUUAACCAUGAAGAUGGUUUAUAUGAAUUUACUUUCCCAGCUGCAGAGAAGCGUUUGGACAUUUCAGCUGAUUUUCCCUAAGGACUCGCCCUUUCACAUACUCCAGUGGAUCACAGGUGGGAUAGGUGUUGGAGUGGGACACCUGAAAGCACUGGAGCUGGACCUGCGAGGUACCUGAGUUGGUCAGCCUACAAGCUCUCUUGCUCCCAUACCACCAGGGGUUUAUUCUUUAAGGAAUCAUGUAACAGGAGACAAAUGCAAUACAGAGAAGGAGCAUGAAGAGAGGACAGAGAGAUGCAGCUGAAAGCCAGACCUGUUUCUGCAGGAGCCUAGGGAGCACGCUGGAUGCGGUGCAGCUGAGCAUCUCCUCUCAGUGGCUCUACCUGGAGGGUCUCAGAACUCAGGCAUGUGUUUGUGCACUUACAUUCCCUCCUCUUGGCCAUUUCCCACACUCUGAACUGCUGCCAUGGGAAGAUUUGAAGGUUCCUACUACCUAAGUCUCUUUUUAUUGCCUCUUCUUUUGCUCUUUACCACCCAGGGAUAAUACCUUGUUAGAAAAUGACCCUCUGCCUAUGUGUUGUUCAUGUGGAGAAUGUGUGAGGAAGUGCCAAUAGGUUUCUCUCUGAAGAGAGAAUAACUCAUUUGCUUUCCAGGGGAAAGCUAUGGGGAACAGUCUCUGAGACAAGGCAACAUCUACAAGGUCAGAAGAUAGCCAAACCUUCAGCAAGGCCAUCACAGACCACCUGAACCCAAGUCUCCCUCCACAGCCACCAAAGAGGUUGUUCAAAUUGCCUUACCAAGAUUGCCUUUCAUAUCAAUGAUUCAUAAUACUGGAAGAACAUACUUCAUCUUUAAUUGUCUGAAAUAUGUUACAGAAGCCUGUGACUUGUGCAGGAGAUCCUGGGAACAUAAUUUUGCUUAUAGUUUUCUGGACAAUAGCUUAGACAGUGUUUCUUUUAAAGUUGCAAUAGUAACCACUCAAGUUAAUGGUGUAUUUUUAAGCAUAAAACAUACAAAACAAAACAUGAAAGCUUAGCUAUUAGCAGAUGGCUUCCAAAAGGGCUUCAAUCCUAUAUUUUGAUUACUAAGCCUUGCAGGGAUUGAAGAUGGAUGGUAUGGACUUGUAUAACCUUGGGGAUUUAACCAAAGCCAGAGCUCUUUCCUAAUUUACCUCACCAAUUUUCUCCAUCAGGAAUAUCCCCACUGCCAUAGGCAUGUGCAAAAUAAAUGGCAUAAUGCAGAAUUCACCAGGCCAAACACCCCAACAAUUAGGUGACAUGUACAUGAUGCAUAAACUUCUGACUCCUUGUUUUUCUUAACUUUGAAAAGACUCUGGGAUUUCAGGAAGGAACCAGAGAAAAUCAACAAUCAUUAUGCUCUUUGUAUGUGUAUUAAACAUUUAGUAUAUUGACAUUUAAGUAGUCUUAUGGGCGUAUUUAUAGUUUGUAGAAGGGUUUUUAGACCAGUUUUUAUAGCUUCUAUGAGAAAACUUUAAUCUGCCAAAGCAUGAUGAGGUUGACCCUAUUUUAUACACUUCCUCUGAUGGGCCUGUAGCAGCACUUACUAUGAGGAGCAACUGUAAUACGAGUAUGAUGAUUACAAACAAAUGCUUUGAAAACAGAGCCAGUAAAACUGGCCUGAGUCUGUGAGACCCAAAGUCUUGUGUUUUACAACUCAGUCUAUCAGGGCAGCUCCAUAACUGCUCUUAGCUAAUGCUGAGUAGGUGCUAAAAUCUCAUUGGCACUACUUUAGUAUUUUGGUUGAGAUACUAAGUCUUGUAACUUUGUCUGGCUUUUUAAGAGAACUGCUCACCAGAGGCCAUGUGCCAUGUGCAUAGCCCAGCCCAUUCUCUAGAGUGCUGCAUUCACCCUGAGUGAGAGGGGAUCCCCCAAACUAGAUUUACAGUGCUAUCCAGUAGCCACAAAUCUACUCCCUGCCCUCUGAUGAUACAAGGACUACACAGGGCACUGAAAUACUGUCAUACUUGGUAUAUAAUCACUAAGUAUUUGUCCUUUACACUAUUAUUUAUUUUUGGUAUUUAUUAUGUAUUUUAUGUAUUUUUUGGUAGUGUACAACACACAUGUCAGGAAUCAAUUCUCAUCUUCCACCAUGUGGUUCCUGGGAUCAAACUCAGCUUGUCAGAUUUGACAGCAAGUAUCCUUACCCACUGAGCUAUUGGUCCAUCCUGCAGUACUUUUAGCAAAACCAGAACCUGAAUGUCAUGAAGGAUAAACACUACACAUCAAGUUUAAGAAAGUUAAGACUCUCCCACUCAAAAGCCCUUGUCUGAUAACCGCUGGGACCUUGAAGAUGUAGGGUAGAAAAUCAAGACUUGUUCAUUCCAGAGCCUUACCAGAACCUGUUACACUAUAACUGUUCAGAAAUAUUUGUACAAAUAGUUAAUAAAGAAAUUAACAUGGAAGUGGUAGGAGAUGACAGUGAUCUAAAGGUUUCUGUUUGGAUGAGUUUGUUAAGGAAAGACUUGGGAAUGUAACAGUCAACUGAAUAUAUUCAGAAUGAGUCAAGAAUGGUUGAUAAUUAAGAAGGUGGAGCACAUCAUAUUAUUAUUACAAUAUACAAUUUUACAUGAGAUCAGAAUAUGUCUCUUGUUUUUAAAAAUUAAGAGAGUGUCACGUACGGAACAUGCUGAAACAAUUUUCGUAUAAUUUUUGGAAAUAAAUUCAUCUGUUCAUUGUGAAAGAGCAUGAAAAAAAUUUAAUUCCCAGUAGAACAUUUUUUUCCUUUUUGAGAAAAUAAAAGAGCAAUAUAAU